rnacentral:rRNA from 1 species
AGAGUUUGAUCAUGGCUCAGGACGAACGCUGGCGGCGUGCCUAAUACAUGCAAGUCGAGCGAGCUUGCCUAGAUGAUUUUAGUGCUUGCACUAAAUGAAACUAGAUACAAGCGAGCGGCGGACGGGUGAGUAACACGUGGGUAACCUGCCCAAGAGACUGGGAUAACACCUGGAAACAGAUGCUAAUACCGGAUAACAACACUAGACGCAUGUCUAGAGUUUGAAAGAUGGUUCUGCUAUCACUCUUGGAUGGACCUGCGGUGCAUUAGCUAGUUGGUAAGGUAACGGCUUACCAAGGCAAUGAUGCAUAGCCGAGUUGAGAGACUGAUCGGCCACAUUGGGACUGAGACACGGCCCAAACUCCUACGGGAGGCAGCAGUAGGGAAUCUUCCACAAUGGACGAAAGUCUGAUGGAGCAACGCCGCGUGAGUGAAGAAGGGUUUCGGCUCGUAAAGCUCUGUUGGUAGUGAAGAAAGAUAGAGGUAGUAACUGGCCUUUAUUUGACGGUAAUUACUUAGAAAGUCACGGCUAACUACGUGCCAGCAGCCGCGGUAAUACGUAGGUGGCAAGCGUUGUCCGGAUUUAUUGGGCGUAAAGCGAGUGCAGGCGGUUCAAUAAGUCUGAUGUGAAAGCCUUCGGCUCAACCGGAGAAUUGCAUCAGAAACUGUUGAACUUGAGUGCAGAAGAGGAGAGUGGAACUCCAUGUGUAGCGGUGGAAUGCGUAGAUAUAUGGAAGAACACCAGUGGCGAAGGCGGCUCUCUGGUCUGCAACUGACGCUGAGGCUCGAAAGCAUGGGUAGCGAACAGGAUUAGAUACCCUGGUAGUCCAUGCCGUAAACGAUGAGUGCUAAGUGUUGGGAGGUUUCCGUCCUCUCA